rnacentral:lncRNA from 1 species
CCUAUCUUUGAGUCCUUUCUUUAGAGAAAAUUCAGUGAAUGCUAUAUAAUAUUUUACAGUUUAGCUAAGUUCAUUCUUAUAAGUAUGUAAUACCUAUCAGAUUAAAUGACUAGGAAAUUCCAAAAGGGUUACAUAUGGACCACAAAUUUCUUCUUUAACUAACAAGGGUGAUAAUAAUAAAAGAUUUAGAAAUUCUGAACACAUGCCACAAAAUUUUAAGGGUCUGAACCACUUUUUGUGUCCCACUCUCUCCUCCCUCCCUCUCUCG